rnacentral:rRNA from 1 species
UAAAAUUGCAGUUGAAACUGGCAGUCUUGAGUACAGUAGAGGUGGGCGGAAUUCGUGGUGUAGCGGUGAAAUGCUUAGAUAUCACGAAGAACUCCGAUUGCGAAGGCAGCUCACUAGACUGUUACUGACACUGAUGCUCGAAAGUGUGGGUAUCAAACAGGAUUAGAUACCCUGGUAGUCCACACAGUAAACGAUGAAUACUCGCUGUUUGCGAUAUACAGUAAGCGGCCAAGCGAAAGCAUUAAGUAUUCCACCUGGGGAGUACGCCGGCAACGGUGAAACUCAAAGGAAUUGACGGGGGCCCGCACAAGCGGAGGAACAUGUGGUUUAAUUCGAUGAUACGCGAGGAACCUUACCCGGGCUUAAAUUGCAACAGAAUAUAUUGGAAACAGUAUAGCCGUAAGGCUGUUGUGAAGGUGCUGCAUGGUUGUCGUCAGCUCGUGCCGUGAGGUGUCGGCUUAAGUGCCAUAACGAGCGCAACCCUUAUCUUUAGUUACUAACAGGUUAUGCUGAGGACUCUAGAGAGACUGCCGUCGUAAGAUGUGAGGAAGGUGGGGAUGACGUCAAAUCAGCACGGCCCUUACGUCCGGGGCUACACACGUGUUACAAUGGGGGGUACAGAAGGCGGCUACCUGGUGACAGGAUGCUAAUCCCAAAAACCUCUCUCAGUUCGGAUCGAAGUCUGCAACCCGACUUCGUGAAGCUGGAUUCGCUAGUAAUCGCGCAUCAGCCAUGGCGCGGUGAAUACGUUCCCGGGCCUUGUACACGCCGCCCGUCAAGCCAUGAAAGCCGGGGGUACCUGAAGUACGUAAACCGCAAG